rnacentral:pre_miRNA from 1 species
CAAAUACUCCCUCCGUCCGGAAAUACUUGUCAUCAAAAUGGAUAGAAGCAAAUGUAUCUAGACGUAUUUUAGUUUUAGAUACAUCUCUUUUUAUCCAUUUUGAUGACAAGUAUUUUUGGACGGAGGGAGUAGAAA